rnacentral:rRNA from 1 species
GACGAGCCACACAAACGUUAUUCGGAAUUACUGGGCUUAAAGGGUGCGUAGGCGGCGCGGAAAGUUGGGUGUGAAAUCCCUCGGCUCAACCGGGGAAUGGCGCCCAAAACUACCGUGCUCGAGGAAGACAGAGGUGAGCGGAACUCAGGGUGGAGCGGUGAAAUGCGUUGAUAUCCUGAGGAACACCGGUGGCGAAAGCGGCUCACUGGGUCUUACCUGACGCUGAGGAACGAAAGCCAGGGGAGCGAACGGG